UACCGGCGGCCCGAGUGGCGGGCCCUAUUAUUGGGCUUAAAGCGUCCGUAGCAGGGUUGGUAAGUCUCCCGGGAAAUCUGGCCGCUUAACGGUCAGAAUUCCGGGAGAUACUGCCAGCCUAGGGACCGGGAGAGGCCGAGGGUAUUCCCGGAGUAGGGGUGAAAUCCUAUAAUCCCGGGAGGACCACUUGUGGCGAAGGCGAUCGGCUGGAACGGGUCCGACGGUGAGGGACGAAGGCCAGGGGAGCAAACCGG
rnacentral:rRNA from 1 species